rnacentral:rRNA from 1 species
UGAAGGAAAGGUGAAAAGGACCCCGGGAGGGGAGUGAAAGAGAACCUGAAACCCUGUGUUUACAAGCUGUGGAAGGACGAAAGUCCGACCGCGUACUUUUUGUAGAACGGUCCGGCGAGUUAUCGCUGCCGGCAAGGUUAAGGAUUUAAGGUCCGGAGCCGAAGCGAAAGCGAGUCUUAAAAGGGCGAACAGUCAGCAGAGAUAGACCCGAAACCGGGUGACCUAUCCAUGUCCAGGAUGAAGCCAAAGUAAAAUUUGGUGGAGGUCCGAACGCACAUCCGUUGAAAAGGGUGGCGAUGAGGUGUGGAUAGCGGAGAAAUUCCAAUCGAACCCGGAGAUAGCUGGUUCUCCUCGAAAUAGCUUUAGGGCUAGCCUCGUGUUAAUGAUCUUUUGCAGGUAGAGCACUGAAUUCUUGAGGGGGCGUCAAAGUCUACCAAGAGAUAUCAAACUCCGAAUGGCAGGAAGACAGACACGGGAGUCAGACGAUGCGAUAUAAAUUGCAUGGUCAAAAGGGAAAGAGCCCGGAUCUACAGCUAAGGUCCCAAAGUGCGUGUUAAGUGGGAAAGGAUGUGAGAUCUCAGAGACAACUAGGAUGUUGGCUCAGAAGCAGCCACACAUUCAAAGAGUGCGUAAUAGCUCACUAGUCGAGAGGUCCUGCGCCGAAAAUUCACGGGGCUGAAACACGACACCGAAGCUUAGGGAUGGGAAACCAUCGGUAGAGGAGCAUUGAAAACCCAUAGAAGCAGGACUGGAAAGUCCUGUGGAGAGUUUUGAAGAGAGAAUGCCGGAAUGAGUAGCGAGAUGGAGGUGGGAAUCCUCCAGGCCGAAAAUCUAAGGUUUCCAGGGUAAAGCUGAUCUGCCCUGGGGAAGUCGGGGCCUAAGGCGAGGCUGAAAAGCGUAGUCGAUGGAGAACUGGUGAAGAUUCCAGUACCGAAUGAUAUCAGAACUGCGGGGACACAUGGGGGAAGGAAGAGCCGGGAGAGAGAAGACCGGUGCAAGCGCCGAAAGGCGUGAAGCGGAACGAAGAAAAGUAGGGAAGCUUCCGGAGACUGUGGCGAGAAAAGCCGCUAUUGCGUAUCAUAUGCCCGUACCGCAAACCGACACAGGUAGAUGAGGAGAGAAUCCUAAGGCCGACGGGAGAAGCAUUGUUAAGGAACUCGGCAAAAUGACCCCGUAACUUCGGGAGAAGGGGUGCCCACGGGAGUGGGCCGCAGAGAAAAGGCUCAAGCAACUGUUUAGCAAAAACACAGGUCUAUGCGAAACCGAAAGGUGAAGUAUAUGGGCUGACGCCUGCCCGGUGCUGGAAGGUUAAGAGGAGAGGUUAGCGAAAGCGAAGCUUUGAAUUGAAGCCCCAGUAAACGGCGGCCGUAACUAUAACGGUCCUAAGGUAGCGAAAUUCCUUGUCGGGUAAGUUCCGACCCGCACGAAAGGCGUAAUGAUUUGAGCACUGUCUCAACAAUGCACCCGGUGAAAUUGAAGUACCAGUGAAGAUGCUGGUUACCUGCGCCAGGACGGAAAGACCCCAUGGAGCUUUACUCUAGUUUGAUACUGGGGUUUGAUGAUGCAUGUACAGGAUAGGUGGGAGACUGCGAGGCGAGGACGCCAGUUUUCGCGGAGUCACUGUUGGGAUACCACCCUUGUAUCAUUGAAUUUCUAACCCAUGGCCGUAAGCCGGUCAGGGGACAAUGUCAGAUGGGGAGUUUGACUGGGGCGGUCGCCUCCGAAAGAGUAUCGGAGGCGCUCAAAGGUUCCCUCAGAAUGGACGGAAACCAUUCAAAGAGUGCAAAGGCAAAAGGGAGCUUGACUGCGAGACUGACGGGUCGAGCAGGUACGAAAGUAGGACUUAGUGAUCCGGUGGUUUUAAGUGGGAAA